rnacentral:misc_RNA from 1 species
GGAAGGAUCAUUCACAAAUUGAUUGAAUCUAAUGCCGGCGUAACUUUAUCCGGAGUGUACUAUUCUAGUUUUGGUAUUCAGGUGCCCUUGGCGAAGCCAUAAGUAGUUGAAUAUCAAAAUGAUGUCUCAGUACCGCGAGCAUUUGAAGUUUCUUCAAAUGUCGAUGGCGCUUGUUGUAGAGCAAGUAACUUUUGCAACAAGUGUUAAACACAGCAUAUGUAAUGAUGAUAAUGAGUUCAUUGCCGUAUAAGUAUUUUUCGAACUUUUUUGGGCCGUAUAGUAAUGAACCAUUUUUUGGGCUUUAUCAUUGUUACACAUUGUUGGUGUCCACGCUUUGUGUUCGUUUUUUGGAAUACAAUGGGUGGGAAAACACAUUCUAAUUAAUACAGAGAUGCAUUACCAGUUGUUGAGACGCUUUUUGGACUGCUCGACAACAGGUAACACUUUUUGGGAAUUCUUUGUGUUAAUCGGGAUAUGUCUGUGUAACUGCCUAGUAAGCAUUGGAAAUACAGUCGUCAUUAUUUUUUGGAGUGACGACGGUCGCUUUUUGGAUUCCAUCUUAUUAGUAGUUGUUCGCAGCUCCGACGCUUUAUGAAUAUAUUUUUGAUGUUGUUGAGUUUAUAAGACAAAAAGUAUUGGCAAUGGAUCCCUCGGUUCUCGCUUCGAUGAAGAACGCAGCGAAACGCGAUAAUUAUUGCGAAUUGCAGAAUUCAGUGAAUCAUCGAAAUUUCGAACGCAAACGGCGCUGAUUGGUUACGCCUUUCAGCACACAUUAUUCAGUGUCAUUUUAUCUCGAAUGGACACACCUCUCUAAGAGGGCAAGAAUCGAUUGAGGUCGUAUUUUUUGGCAUUUCAUGCAAUGGCGCUGGACGCUUUUUGGGAUUAUCCACCAGGAUGGACGCUUUUUGGUCCAUCCCUAGUUGGACGUUUUUUGGGAUAUCCAUCCCAUUGCAUGAAUGGAACCGCUUUUUGGAGGACGCUCGAUUCGAUCUUUGCUCGCCUUUUUGAGGUGUUUCAUUCAAAAUUGAAAGCCUUGAUGUGGCUUCCUACUCAUUGGGAAAGUUUUUUGACAUUUUCUCUUAUUGAUGGAUGGACGUUUUUUUGGUUCCUUCUUCAAUUAGAGGAAUACGCUUUUUGGGGACACUCAAUGAAGGAAUGCUGACGCAAGCCUUUUUAAAUCUGUGGGGCUUCCUCUAUGGUUGUCUAUGUGUUAAGCAAUACGAUUUUUUGAGUACGUUUUUUGGGACUUUGUUAAACACUUGCUGCCAAUGGGGGAUUAUAAGACUCACAAAUGCUUCGUUUCAACUUGGAACAAAGCAACUUCAAACAUCGACCUGAGUAAUGUGAGACUACCCGCUGAACUUAAGCAUAUCAGUAAGCGGAGGAAAAGAAAUUAACAAAGAUUCCCUCAGUAACUGCGAGUGAACCGGGAAGAGCUCAUCCCUAAAAUCCCUUUAAUGGGAGUUGUGGGGUUGGAAGGUUUGAUCAGCGUGCGACCCUGGAUUAAGUUUGUUUGGAAAACAACGGCAUCGAGGGUGAUACCCCCGUUUUAAUCUAGGAGUUCGUCGCGUACGAUCGGCUUUUCUAGAGUCGGCUUGCUUGGAAAUGCAGGCUUAAUCAGGUGGUAAAUUCCAUCUAAAGCUAAAUAUAAGCGAGAAACCGAUAGUUCACAAGUACCGUGAGGGAAAGGUGAAAAGGACUUUGAAAAGAGAGUCAAAAGUACGUGAAAUUGUCAAUAUAUAAGGGAUUAGAACCAGUAUAUGGCUCGCUGCCUUUCUUGACUGAAUUGGAUCAUGCAUCUUUCUAUGAUUCCGUAUGGAAUUAGAUUGAGAAGUGUGAAGGUUCUGUUGAGUUUUGCAAGUGGAGCCCGUAGUCAAAAUAGAUUUGCCAGGUGAAAACUUUGCUUCUGUAGGUAGAGUUGCUUGCAGCUCGACGGAAAGAGGACAAAGGUCACAGGCCGAAUCGAGGGAAACCGAUUUUGGCGAAAUGGUUCUAAUCCUCCCGUCUUGAAACACGGACCGAGGAGUGUAACGUAUAGGCAAGUCGUAGGGUGUAAAACCCGAAGGCGAAAUGAAAGUGAAGUGAAGUUUACUUUAUCAGGUGUGCAACCAAUUGGUCUCAACACCGCCCGGCCUCUAUUAGAUAGAGGUUCGAGGUCGAGCCUAUACGUUACGACCCGAAAGAUGGUGAACUAUACCUGAGCAGGGUGAAGCCAGGGGAAACUCUGGUGGAAGCUCGCAGCGAUACUGACGUGCAAAUCGUUCGUCAGACUUGGGUAUAGGGGCGAAAGACUAAUCGAACCAUCUAGUAGCUGGUUCCCUC